rnacentral:misc_RNA from 1 species
ACGUCGCUUCAUCUAGUCCCAGCACUACUCACUCACUUCCAGUCUCUAGAGCCAUCGAGAUCGUAGCUGAGCGAGUUAGUAUUCAUGGCAGGAGGCACGCUGCAGGACAGAUCGGAGGCCGAGGACGUGCGCGUGGGCGUGGACCGUUUCCCGGAGCGGCAGCCCAUCGGCACGGCGGCGGACGACCUGGGCCGCGACUACAGCGAGCCCCCGGCGGCGCCGCUGUUCGAGGCGUCGGAGCUCUCCUCGUGGUCCUUCUACCGCGCCGGCAUCGCCGAGUUCGUGGCCACGUUCCUCUUCCUCUACGUGACCGUGCUGACGGUGAUGGGCGUGAGCAAGUCCCCCUCCAAGUGCGGCACCGUGGGCAUCCAGGGCAUCGCGUGGGCGUUCGGCGGCAUGAUCUUCGCGCUCGUGUACUGCACCGCGGGCGUGUCGGGCGGCCACAUCAACCCGGCCGUCACGUUCGGCCUCCUCCUCGCCCGGAAGCUGUCGCUGACGCGGGCGGUCUACUACGUGGUGAUGCAGUGCCUGGGCGCCGUCUGCGGCGCCGGCGUCGUGAAGGCGUUCGGCAGCGCGCUGUACGAGUCCGCGGGCGGCGGCGCCAACGCCGUCAGCCCCGGGUACACCAAGGGCGACGGCCUCGGCGCCGAGGUCGUGGGCACGUUCGUGCUCGUGUACACCGUCUUCUCCGCCACCGACGCCAAGCGCACCGCCAGGGACUCCCACGUCCCCGCGCUGGCCCCGCUGCCCAUCGGCUUCGCCGUAUUCCUGGUGCACCUCGCCACCAUCCCCAUCACCGGCACCGGCAUCAACCCCGCCAGGAGCCUCGGCGCCGCCAUCAUCUACGACAACCCGCACGGGUGGCACGGCCACUGGAUCUUCUGGGUGGGCCCGUUCGCCGGAGCGGCGCUUGCGGCGGUGUACCACCAGGUCGUCCUCAGGGCCAUCCCCUUCAAGUCCAGCGCUCACUACUAGUGUUGCUUGCCUUGCCGUCAUACACGGAGUUCUGCUGCCACAUCGGCCGCUCAAUGGACCAUCACUCCGCGAAUGUAUGAUGUGUGUAACUCGAAUGUGUGGUUAAUUUUCGUUUUCUUACGUGUUUGCAUCCACGGAAUGUGUCAUCAGUGUACAAAUCAACUGUAUGUGGCUGUACGUGUCCCAAUUAUGAUAAUGCUAAUAAGGCCAUAAUAUACCAAG